UACGAGGGGGGCAAAUGUUGUUCGGAAUCACUGGGCGUAAAGGGAGCGUAGGCGGGGGUUUAAGACAGGUGUGAAAUCCCCGGGCUUAACCUGGGAAUUGCAUUUGUGACUGCACGGCUAGAGUGUGUCAGAGGGGGGUAGAAUUCCACGCGUAGCAGUGAAAUGCGUAGAUAUGCGGAGGAACACCGAUGGCGAAGGCAAUCCCCUGGGCCUGCACUGACGCUCAUGCACGAAAGCGUGGGGAGCAAACAGG
rnacentral:rRNA from 1 species